UACGUAGGGGGCAAGCGUUGUCCGGAAUCAUUGGGCGUAAAGCGCACGUAGGCGGCCCGGUAAGUCCGCUCUGAAAGUCAGAGGCUCAACCUCUGGAGGCGAGUGGAUACUGCCGGGCUGGAGUCCGGAAGAGGCGAGUGGAAUUCCUGGUGUAGCGGUGGAAUGCGCAGAUAUCAGGAGGAACACCAAUGGCGAAGGCAGCUCGCUGGGACGGUACUGACGCUGAGGUGCGAAAGCGUGGGGAGCAAACAGG
rnacentral:rRNA from 1 species